AUUGAACGCUGGCGGCAGGCUUAACACAUGCAAGUCGAGCGGAGCGAGGGUGCUUGCACCUUAGCUUAGCGGCGGACGGGUGAGUAAUGCUUAGGAAUCUGCCUAUUAGUGGGGGACAACAUUCCGAAAGGGAUGCUAAUACCGCAUACGCCCUACGGGGGAAAGCAGGGGAUCUUCGGACCUUGCGCUAAUAGAUGAGCCUAAGUCGGAUUAGCUAGUUGGUGGGGUAAAGGCCUACCAAGGCGACGAUCUGUAGCGGGUCUGAGAGGAUGAGCCGCCACACUGGGACUGAGACACGGACCAGACUCCUACGGGAGGCAGCAGUGGGGAAUAUUGGACAAUGGGGGGAACCCUGAUCCAGCCAUGCCGCGUGUGUGAAGAAGGCCUUUUGGUUGUAAAGCACUUUAAGCGAGGAGGAGGCGCUCUAGGUUAAUACCCUAGAUGCGUGGACGUUACUCGCAGAAUAAGCACCGGCUAACUCUGUGCCAGCAGCCGCCGUAAUAC
rnacentral:rRNA from 1 species